UGCCCUUAGAGUUUGAUCCUGGCUCAGAUUGAACGCUGGCGGCAUGCCUUACACAUGCAAGUCGAACGGCAGCACGGGAGCAAUCCUGGUGGCGAGUGGCGAACGGGUGAGUAAUAUAUCGGAACGUGCCCAGUCGUGGGGGAUAACGCAGCGAAAGCUGUGCUAAUACCGCAUACGAUCUCUGGAUGAAAGCGGGGGACUCGCAAGGGCCUCGCGCGAUUGGAGCGGCCGAUAUCAGAUUAGCUAGUUGGUGGGGUAAAAGCCCACCAAGGCGACGAUCUGUAGCUGGUCUGAGAGGACGACCAGCCACACUGGAACUGAGACACGGUCCAGACUCCUACGGGAGGCAGCAGUGGGGAAUUUUGGACAAUGGGCGAAAGCCUGAUCCAGCAAUGCCGCGUGCAGGAUGAAGGCCUUCGGGUUGUAAACUGCUUUUGUACGGAACGAAACGGUCGCCUCUAAUACGGGUGGCUAAUGACGGUACCGUAAGAAUAAGCACCGGCUAACUACGUGCCAGCAGCCGCGGUAAUACGUAGGGUGCGAGCGUUAAUCGGAAUUACUGGGCGUAAAGCGUGCGCAGGCGGUUAUAUAAGACAGAUGUGAAAUCCCCGGGCUCAACCUGGGACCUGCAUAUGUGACUGUAUAGCUAGAGUACGGUAGAGGGGGAUGGAAUUCCGCGUGUAGCAGUGAAAUGCGUAGAUAUGCGGAGGAACACCGAUGGCGAAGGCAAUCCCCUGGACCUGUACUGACGCUCAUGCACGAAAGCGUGGGGAGCAAACAGGAUUAGAUACCCUGGUAGAAGGGC
rnacentral:rRNA from 1 species